GGGAAAGGAACAGUGAGGAGAGAUGAGGAGGACGAGGGAGAGAGGCUGCAGCUGGAAGGACUUAACCUGUAUCUGCAGGCUGACUCUUCACAAACACCCACAUAACCCUCACCCACAGAUUCAUCCAACUACAUCUCCUCACACUUUUAUUACGCUGUUAUUAUGAUUUGUAGCACAAUUAAGUGCUAUGAUACAUUGGUAUUAUUGACUAUUAUUGAUUCAAAAACAGCAAUUUCUCAAGCUAAAAUGUCAUUACUUGAUACCUUAUGAUGAUAAAGUAUUGAGGUCAGAAAUGUUUGGAAUUUUUGCUAUCUGCCUUGUAUACUGUGCAUGCAGAACUCUCUCAAGCAAACUUCCAGAAUAGAGGAAUAACAAUUAAAGUGGCCUUGACUGAUG